rnacentral:ncRNA from 2 species
UACCAGUAUUCAUGAUAUAGUAUUUGGGUUUGUAGUUGGGAAAGUUCGGUGAGAUUCCGACACUGUGCCGCAACUGUAAUACAAUAUCAGAGCAAAAAAUGGGUGAUUUCAUCGGGUAAAUAGUCUUAUUUAUCCGGGAAUUUAACCCUUAACUAUCUGCUAUUUUCUGAGUCAGAAUGCCAACUACAAAUUAUUGAUGAGU